UUGGAUGUCUCAACACUGAAACCUCAGGUUGCAUUUAAGUAUCUGUCAAAAGUUGAAAAGAUUGAAAAUUACUAUCAAAGGCAUUUGAAAACAUGUAAUGAAAAUUUUAUGUCUGAUUUCCAAAAGUUGGGUCUUCAAGGUUCAUUUCUACCCAUGCAGCAAUUAGCAUAUAUUUGCCGAGAAAACAAAUGGGGAGAACCAGACUAUCAAAUUCAGCAGCAUGCAUUUGGUGCCAAUGCUUCUAUAUUUUCUU